rnacentral:lncRNA from 1 species
CCACAGAGAACACACUGUUACACACACACACACAACCUCACACACAUUACCUGACACUCCUAACACAUCACACAAUCCAUUUUUUUUUAUGAACUGUGUGUUUGUGUGUGUGUGUGUGUGUGUGUGUGCAGGUGUUUAUGGGGUACCGUAUGGGUGGUGAGCUGCUGCUGGUUAAAGGCGAGACUCAGUGUUUUUAUCCAUCAGACGGAGGAAUCAUCAGUGUGGAUAAAGUUCAGUUUGUGCAAGGGUCAACCCAGUUAACAGUGUGUGUGAGAAAAGAUGACCACUGCUUCUACACACACGUCUACACACAGAGACAGAACAACAACAUGCUAGGUGACAUGGAGAGAUGUGGCAGUUUUUAUGCUGUUUUAAACAACGGCAUCCAGCUUUCAUACAGCAAACUGCCACUGACCUCACCAAGUGACGCUAGCAUUGACCCCGCCCCCACAGAACCCGAGUGUGGAGCAGGUGCUCCUGUGGGUCUGCAGGUCUCCCUGCCCUCCGGCCUCCAGCUCAGCUUCCAGUACCAGAACACAGCAGAUGGUUGGUCUGUGUGUGUUAGACAGCAGGUCUUCUCCGAAGGAAACACUCACUCUCCUCUGGAACACACACACACCGAGCUGUCCCGGAUCAUCACCUGCCAGGGCACAGUCAUAAAGCACCGCAGAGACGGCUCUACUGAGGUGCUGUUUGCAGAUGGUACGGUCAGUAGCCCUCCAGACUCUGGGCCUGUGUGUGUAUUGGUCCC